AGACGUCCUAGAAUGAAGGCGGCACGGUC
rnacentral:sRNA from 1 species